rnacentral:rRNA from 1 species
UACGUACAAGCAGUGGGAGCCUCUUUAAUGGGGUGACUGCGUACCUUUUGUAUAAUGGGUCAGCGACUUAUAUUCUGUAGCAAGGUUAACCGAAUAGGGGAGCCGAAGGGAAACCGAGUCUUAACUGGGCGUUAAGUUGCAGGGUAUAGACCCGAAACCCGGUGAUCUAGCCAUGGGCAGGUUGAAGGUUGGGUAACACUAACUGGAGGACCGAACCGACUAAUGUUGAAAAAUUAGCGGAUGACUUGUGGCUGGGGGUGAAAGGCCAAUCAAACCGGGAGAUAGCUGGUUCUCCCCGAAAGCUAUUUAGGUAGCGCCUCGUGAAUUCAUCUCCGGGGGUAGAGCACUGUUUCGGCAAGGGGGUCAUCCCGACUUACCAACCCGAUGCAAACUGCGAAUACCGGAGAAUGUUAUCACGGGAGACACACGGCGGGUGCUAACGUCCGUCGUGAAGAGGGAAACAACCCAGACCGCCAGCUAAGGUCCCAAAGUCAUGGUUAAGUGGGAAACGAUGUGGGAAGGCCCAGACAGCCAGGAUGUUGGCUUAGAAGCAGCCAUCAUUUAAAGAAAGCGUAAUAGCUCACUGGUCGAGUCGGCCUGCGCGGAAGAUGUAACGGGGCUAAACCAUGCACCGAAGCUGCGGCAGCGACACUAUGUGUUGUUGGGUAGGGGAGCGUUCUGUAAGCCGUUGAAGGUGGCCUGUGAGGGUUGCUGGAGGUAUCAGAAGUGCGAAUGCUGACAUAAGUAACGAUAAAGCGGGUGAAAAGCCCGCUCGCCGGAAGACCAAGGGUUCCUGUCCAACGUUAAUCGGGGCAGGGUGAGUCGACCCCUAAGGCGAGGCCGAAAGGCGUAGUCGAUGGGAAACAGGUUAAUAUUCCUGUACUUGGUGUUACUGCGAAGGGGGGACGGAGAAGGCUAUGUUGGCCGGGCGACGGUUGUCCCGGUUUAAGCGUGUAGGCUGAUUUUCCAGGCAAAUCCGGAGAAUCAAGGCUGAGGCGUGAUGA